ensembl:rRNA 5S_rRNA 5S ribosomal RNA
GUCUAAGGCCAGACCACCCUGAACAUGCCUGAUCUUAGGAACUAAGCUGGGUUGGGUCCAGUUAAUACCUGGCUUAGGGAAACCAGCUGGUAUCAGGAG